AAGGCUGGGAAUGUUUCGGAGA
rnacentral:miRNA from 1 species